CUUUUGAUAAUAAUUUAAGGUCUGGCCUGCCCACUGAGGAAUUAAAUGGCCGCGGUAGCCUGACCGUGCAAAGGUAGCAUAAUCAAUUGUUUCUUAAUUAGAAGCUUGAAUGAAAGGUUUGAUGAGAAAAUAACUGUCUCUAAGUUAAUUUGAUAAAAUUUUAUUUUUAAGUGAAAAAGCUUAAAUGUGUUUAGAAGACGAGAAGACCCUAURGAGUUUAAUAAACUAAUAUUAAGGVAUUUUUGGUAUUAAAAUAUUUUUGAAUAUUAUUUUAUUUAGCUGGGGUGGCAGAAAAAUUAAUUUAACUUUUUUAUAAAUAAAACACUAAUUUGUGAGUUUUUUAUCCAAAAUGAUGAAAAUAGAAAAAACUACCUUAGGGAUAACAGCGUAAUUUUUUUUUAGAGUUCAAAUCGAAAAAAGAGAUUGCGACCUCGAUGUUGGAUUAAAAUUAAUUUCUGGUGAAGAAGCUAGG
rnacentral:rRNA from 1 species